AUCCUGGGCACUACAAUUUAUAAUUUAAACCCAACGAACAUGGCGGUAGUUUAAAUAUUUAGGGGAACUUACUAAAUAAUUGAUAACCACCAAGAUUAUGCACGUCAAGCAAUAUUUUACAUACCGUCGUCGUCAGAUAUUCUAAGAUAGAAUGUCAAGAUAUACAUUAAUAAAAGGACAGAUCAAGGUGUAGACUAUCUUCACGUUCAAGCGAGUUACAAUAUUUUUUUUUUUCGUAAAC
rnacentral:rRNA from 1 species